UGGGGAAUAUUGGGCAAUGGGCGCAAGCCUGACCCAGCAACGCCGCGUGAAGGAAGAAGGCCCUCGGGUUGUAAACUUCUUUUAUCAGGGACGAAGAAAAUGACGGUACCUGAUGAAUAAGCCACGGCUAACUACGUGCCAGCAGCCGCGGUAAUACGUAGGUGGCAAGCGUUAUCCGGAUUUACUGGGUGUAAAGGGCGUGUAGGCGGGAUCGCAAGUCAGAUGUGAAAUUCCAGGGCUCAACCCUGGACCUGCAUUUGAAACUGUGAUUCUUGAGUGUUGGAGAGGCAGGCGGAAUUCCGUGUGUAGCGGUGAAAUGCGUAGAUAUACGGAGGAACACCAGUGGCGAAGGCGGCCUGCUGGACAAUAACUGACGCUGAGGCGCGAAAGCGUGGGGAGCAAACAGG
rnacentral:rRNA from 1 species